UACAGAGGGUGCGAGCGUUGUCCGGAAUCACUGGGCGUAAAGGGCGCGUAGGCGGUCUGUUAAGCGUGUGGUGAAAGCUCGGGGCUCAACCCCGCGUCGGCCAUGCGAACUGGGAGACUGGAGCCGAUCAGAGGCAGGCGGAAUUCCGGGUGUAGCGGUGGAAUGCGUAGAGAUCCGGAAGAACACCGGUGGCGAAGGCGGCCUGCUGGGAUCGAGCCGACGCUGAGGCGCGACAGCGUGGGGAGCAAACAGG
rnacentral:rRNA from 1 species